rnacentral:rRNA from 1 species
CUCAAAAAUGCCAAAAAGAGAAUCCAAGAGUCAUCAAUCACCAUCACAUGUAUCAUUACAAAGCUUCACACUUAGCAUGCAAAUGACAUCAACACAAAUCCACCUUAGCCGAAACUUAACUCAUCUUCAUGCCUCAUCACCACAACAUCAAACAUCAACCAAGAAGACAACACCCAUGGCCGAAUAUCAUCUCCAUCUCAUAGCAAAUAUUUAAACCAUGGGCUAGGUAGAACUCAAACUAACAACUAAAAACAUGCAUGAAUCUCAUGGACAACAUCAAACAUACCUUAGUCUAGCAAACCACCAUAGCCGAUUUUCUCAAGCUCUUCCCCCUUCUUCUCUUUCUUCUAUUCGGCCAAGAACAACCAAAGAAUGAAGCCUUUUUUUUUUCUUCUAGUUUCGGCAAAAAUGGGGGAGCAAGGAUGAAACAACUUUGGUUUCUCCUCCCACUCCCCACAUAUUUUAUUGUUCUUAACACAACAUGUUGUCAUAAACUUUUUAUAAUAUGUUUUACCCAUCACAAAUUGUCUAUCCACCUUGUCAUUGCCGGCCACUACUAUUUAAGGGGGAAAUUGACAUGCAAGUCCACCUUUAUGAUUAUAUGCACUAAUAGAUCUUUAUAGAUUAACCUAUCACAUUUCAAAAGGGUCACACAUAAGUCCUAUUAACUAAAUUCACGUGCAAUUAACUAAAUCGAAGCUUAAAACUUUCACACAUUCAUAUUUGCAUAUUUUAGACAAUAAAUAUCAUAUUCAAAUAAUUUGGUGACUCAGUUUAGUAGUCCCGAAACCGCUUUCCGACUAGGGUCACUUUAGGGCUGUCACAGUUAGGGAGUCCGAAAACGUCAGCCGGGGCCUCGAGAAGAUUUAUCUUUUUUGUUUAACGGCCUGCCCACCCUGGAAACGGCUCAGCCAUACGUAGGACGGAAAACCACCACAUGUGGUGUGGUGUCCGGUGUAGCCCCGGCGGCCCUUGAGAAUCUAGAGGACCGAGUGCCAUUCGCACCUGGUCAUAUUCAUAACCGUAUCAAGUCUCCAAUAUGAACAACCUUUGGUCAAUGGAACAAUGUAAGCAAGGGAAGUCGGCAAAAUGAAUAUGUAAACUCGGGAAAAGAAUUGGUUCUGAGGGUUGGGCACGGGGGUCCCAGUCCUGAACUCAUCGGCUGUUGGUGUAUUGCUUGAACUGCUCCCGCGAUACGAGGAGGUUACCGCAUGCCGGCCAGGGGACGGACUGAGAAUGGCUACUUCGGAAGCCUUCCCUGGGUGAUGAAUAGUUGACUCAGAAUUGGCAUGGACAAGGGGAAUCUGACUGUUUAAGUAAAACAAAGCCUUGCGGUGGUCCCUACUGAUGCUCACGCAAUGUGAUUUCUGCCCAGUGCUCUGAAUGUCAAAGUGAAGAAAUUCAAGCAAGCGUAGGCAAACGGAGGAAGUAACUAUGACUUUCUUAAGGUAGCCAAAUGCCUUGUCAUCUAAUUAGUGACACGCAUGAAUGGAUAAACGAGAUUCCCACUAUCCCUAUCUACUAUCCAGCAAAACAAUGGUCAAAGGAACGGGCUUGGUAGAAUCAGCGGAGAAAGAAGGCCCUGUUGAGCUUGACUCUAGUCCAACUUUGUGAAAUGACUUGAGAGGUGUAGGAUAAGUGGGAGCUCUUGGGCGAAAUUGAAAUACCACUACUUUUAACGCUAUUUUACUUAUUCGGUGAAUCGGAGGCGGGGCAUGGCCCCUCUUUUUGGACCCAAGGUCAGCUUCGGUUGGAUGAUCUGGGUAGAAGACAUUGUCAGGUGGGGAGUUUGGCUGGGACGGCACAUCUAUUAAAAGAUAACAAAGGUGUCCUAAGAUAAGCUCAACAAGAAUAAAAAUCUCGUAUGGAACGAAAGGGUGAAAGCUCGUUUGAUUUUGAUUUCCAGUAUGAAUACAAACCGUGAAAGCGUGGCUUAUCGAUCCUUUAGACAUUCAGAAUUUGAAGCUAGAGGUGUCAUAAAAGUUACCAUAGGGAUAAUUGGCUUGUGGAAGCCAAGCGCUCAGAGCGACGUUGCUUUUUUAUCUUUCGAUGUCGGCUCUUCCUAUCAUUGUGAACCAGAAUUCACUAAGUGUUGGAUUGUUCACCCACCAAUAGGGAACGUGAGCUGGGUUUAGACUGUCAAGAGAUAGGUUAGUUUUACCCUACUGAUGGCUGUGUUGCAGUAGUAAUUCAACCUAGAAAGAAGGUGGCCGCAGGGGAGUGAGUGCGUAUAUGAAUUAGUUCAAAGAAGUCAUGGACGACUUAGAUCUAGUGUAUAUUAAACCUGAUAGUGGAUGGUUUACCUGGGUUAAAAAUAGGAGCGAGUGGAGUUUGAUAAAGGAAAGAAUUGAUAGAUUCCUCACCUCGAUUUUAGUGGUUAAAAACUUCCUUUUUAUAGGUACCAAAGUGGUAAGA